GGAGACAUUAUCUGCACAAUCUCACUGCAUCUGCCUCGUCUCAUCUCCGAAGACCACAGCGGCUGAGAGCAGAAAGAUCACCAGCAGGGACGGGUGGCUCAGUACCUCACAGAAGCAAGUCCUGCCUUUGGAAAGGAAGUUCUUUACUAUUUUGAUAUGAAAUAUGCCUGCUUAGUUCUCAGAGCAAGAGUGUCAAGAGUACACAGCCCAAGAGGCCCGGUGGAAGCUGCAGCCUUCUUACCUUCUUAUGUUGGAGAUGGGAAGCCCCAGAAUGUCCCUUCCACAGCGUUCUGUGGUCGGCAAGUCACCAAGCCAGCCUGGAUUCCAGGAAGCAGAAAGGGAGUUCCCUUCCGCCUCCCUAAUGCCAUGGAAUGGGGAAGGGUACAACUCUAGGAUCAGACCCAAAGGGAACUGUUGUGAAUCUUGAUUUUGUGACUUCUUGGCUAUUGGAUUUGGGCCAAUUAUUUGUCAUCUCUGUACCUUAAUUUACUCAUCUAUGAAAGAAGGACUAAAAAUACUUAUCAUAGGAGAAGACAAUAUGUAAGCCACUUGGCAAUGUGCCUGGGACCUAGUGAGCGAUUCUUCUCACUUAUUAUUGUUUUCGUCAUCAUCGACAUCAUCGUCACCAUUACUUUUCAUUGUCUUUGGAAAUUUGGACAGAGACCACAGGCAGAUGCGGUGCCGUAUUCCCACAGGGCUGGAGCAGCGGGUGUGUUUUUCUGUGAUAGCAGCGCUUCCCGGAACCAGCAGGGAUGACACGGCAGUUAGGAGCUUCUCUGGGGCCUUCAGGCAGACGGUCUGGGCUGUGUCCUGGCUGUGCCUUUUCCCAGCCCUACCUGCAGUCCUACACAUCUUCUCCACCUCCAGCGGCUUCUCCUUCUCACAUCCACCCUCUGCGAAGGCAUAAAUAGUAGCAACUCCCUUCUGGAUUCUAUGAGGUGAUAAUUACAUGAGAUGGCAGAGCCUGGAGCACGGGAGCUCCUCAGUGACUCAGUCAUGUUCAUUCCAAGGAGUUCAGGGUCCUUGCCGUCUGCAAACCUUUCCCCUUAUUUUCAAGAUCCUUGAGUCUGACUGUCAAGCAGUAACAUUCCAGCCUCAACUACAACAAUACUUGUAGAUGAAUGGAGCUUCCACUGGACCCCAUGUCACUGGUGAGGGACUUCAGGCAGAGAGAAAGCUCAUCCUUUGCCCAAGGUCACACCGCUGGUAAAAAGCAAAUGAAGUUCAAACUGACCUCCUCAUCCCUGCCCUUGUCCUCCCAACAGGCUCCUCACAGGUGGAAAAAUCAACCCCUACAGCAAACUCAUUGUUUUUUUGACCUCUCCUAAAAUUAAAAUCCAAGAUCCCUCAU
ensembl:lncRNA LINC02368 long intergenic non-protein coding RNA 2368